CGGAUUAGCGGCGGACGGGUGAGUAACACGUGAGUAACCUGCCUUAGACAUUGGGAUAGCCUCGGGAAACCGGGAUUAAUACCAAAUAAAAUCAUAAUGACACAUGUCAUAACGAUCAAAACUCCGGUGGUCUAAGAUGGACUCGCGUCCCAUUAGCUAGUUGGUAGAGUAAAAGCCUACCAAGGCGACGAUGGGUAGCCGGCCUGAGAGGGUGAACGGCCACAUUGGAACUGAGAAACGGUCCAA
rnacentral:rRNA from 1 species